AUGAUAUUUCUAAUGGUAUGUACAACCAGAUGUUAUACUGAAAAAUUCAGGAAUCUUAUCCCAAUACUUUUGACCACUACUGUACUCCGACCACAAAAGUUGUUCGAACUUGCCAUGUGCCAAAUAACCAAUGGUACAGAGGCCAUGCAACUUAAAACAUCAACAGAUUUGGGGUGGUCGUCCAACCUUCUUCAUUGCCUUCUUUUAUGGGCCAGUGAUCUAUUUCAAGAUCGUUGUCAUCAACGUCUUCUGAAUCCAGCUAGCGACUUCCUAGCCACUGUGCAAAUAACAUUUUUGUGGCUCUGA
rnacentral:rRNA from 1 species